rnacentral:lncRNA from 1 species
CCAAAAAUGGCGGUCUCAUAGUAUAAAACAGCGUCCGUUGGUUACGGCAAUUUUAUUUUACUUUCCCUUUUAUUUUCAACGUUUUACUGAUGGAGUCGAUAUCGAACUCGAUGACGGACGACGAUUUGAGUCUUCCUAUCGAUUUCAACUUAACGUAUGUCAGCUAAUUCAUACUCUUUUGACGUUGUUGGCAUUUGAGGCUUUUGAGCACGACAGCAGCUUGGCUGCUUGACAGGUUGCAUUUUUGUCAAAUGUGACAUGUUGACAUUUUAAAGGCUAAAGGUUAAGAAGCGCAGAGCACGGUUAAGCCAUAGCAACAAAUGACAACAAUUCUUUACAUUUUGUAGCACCCAAAUUCCCCGAGUCAUGGAAGGGACGUCCAUGAAUGAAAGCAUGGCCCCUGGUGAGUAUUUUUGCGUGUAUUUCAAUAUAUUGUUACGGGACGUCGAAAAACAGCGUCGUCUAUCUCUCAAACUACUGUAUAUAUUUUCAUGAUAAUUCUUAAUCUAUUUCCUUUACAAGUAUUAUUAUAAUUCUUCUCAAAAACUAGAAAAUUUCUGUAUUGCACAUUGUAUCUAUUACUGACCUAUUUAAUACACCAUACUUCGCAUGUGUAGAAUUCAAAUAUUCAAUUCAGUACGGUGUCACAGUGAUAUGUGUAUCCCCAUGCUCUGUGUAUCCCCAUAUUUAUAUCAUAUUUGUAUCCCCAGCAAAUAUGGUGGCCGUGUUUUGAGUAUCCUGUAUCCCUACCUACAGUACCACAGGAAAAUUUUAGAAAUAGUGGAAAAUUUCCACUGGCAACAAGAAGAGGAAAUAGGAAAUAAUCACUUCAUAUAUGAUAUUGAGUAAUUUGAAAAUUAGCUGUCACAAUUUUACAUUACUUUAUGCAUUACCAGGCUAAUAGGCAAUUUUUCAGCAGAGAUUGCUAUUUAAGGCAACAUGCAACAACUGGUUAAGAUUGAAAACAUCUGUGGAAGUGAAAAUUAUAUUGCCUUUUGAAAUGAAAAGCACCAAAACAAGGCUAUAGUCAGUCUUCUUUGCUGAAUUUAGCAGAAACUCUAAACUCAUCCAUUUGUUCACAGAGAAAAAUUGCACCUGAGGCCAUUCCAAAUGAGAUUUUAGUUUCCAGUCCAGACUAUCUUCAUGUAAGCAUGCACUGAGGACGAGUGGUCCAUUAUCAUAUGUUAUCAGAAUUUAUCGAGAAAUGCUAUAAUUUUGCCAUUAUUUGAACUCAGGAUAGGCCAAUGUAAAAAUUCUUGCAGUAUUCAUUACAAUAAACAUUUAUAUAAUAAUCAUCUGCUUUUAAGAACAUUGCAAGGAAUUAAGGAAUAGACAAAACAGAAACAUUUAACACCAUCCCAUAUUUCCAUCCACACUGCAGAGAUCAGAGUUUAAUUAAUAUCAAUAAUGGUUCUAAGAAGUCAUAAUUUAAAUAUUUUCUUGUACAAUCCCAAACAUCUAUUACAAAGCAAUUGAUAUUUUAAGAUAUCACUAAUGGGAAAGUCACAUGGCCUCUUUGUGGAGGCUUGGACAGUGGACAUAUAGGGAAAUAAAGUCUAAUUUGGCAUGGCCUAAAAUUGUAGCAAAAUUUGCAAGUGUAAACAGGUGUUACGACUUGCCAACUGCUUACGUUUUACUAUUGUUCAAACUGCUUGACCCAAAUUAAAACAAAUUAUGAAUUGGGAAUUUUUAACCCAUUAAUUAAGUUGCAUUGCAUCCCAAUGUGCCUUAGCUGCAUUAUUCUUUUGAUCUGUUUAACAACAGAUGAUAUUACUUAAUUGUCAUAUGGAGAGUGCUGCUGCCACUCAAUGGGUUAAAUAUCAGACUAUCUGCCAAUGCAUUCUGUUCCUUUAAAGGGAUAUGGCAAUAUAAAGUUUGUCUUAUUUGAAAUAACAUUUAAAAUGAUAUAUAAAGUAACUUCCUUUACAAUUAUUCCGUAUCUUGCUUCGUUUUCAAAAUAAAUCGACUUAUUUUGAUCAAAAGCAGCGUGCAUUCCGCCAUCUUGGAUAUGCAUUCGAUAUGCAUACGUCACAAGUAGGGUAAAAGGCGAAAUUUUUAUCUUGCAAACCACAUGUCAUUAAUAAAACUUGAUUUUCUGCAGUCUUUUUAGUACUCAAUUAACUCACAACAUUUUAAGAAACUUUUCGAAGAAAUUUAAUCCCACAUGAAGAAAUUUUAACAAGUUUACCGUGCUUUUGACGUUAUCAAAAACUCAGUUAAUUAGGUCAAAUAUAAUACCAAGAUGGCAGACUGCAUACUGUUUUUGGUCAAAAUAUUUCGAAAACCAAGCAAGUUACGAGAAAGUUGUAAAGGGUCUUCAUACAUAACUUUAAAAGUUCUUUCAAAUAAGACAAACUUAAUUUUUGUUGCCAUAUCCCUUUAAGCAAUGUGCCUUAGUUGCCAAGGGUGGGUUGACUACAAAAUUUUUGUAGUUUGCUAUAACUACAGCUACUUCAAAAAUGUGUAGUCAGCUACAACUACUGCUACUUUUGAACAAAGGUAGUUAGCUACUGACUACAGCUACUGCUUAAAGAAUGUAGCGAACUAUUUCGCUAAGCUAUAUUUUUUGGUUUUACUGUAUUUGGAACAUCUACUAACUCAGGCUGAAAUGUAACCUAUAACAAAUCGACUUACGAGUAGCAACAGUAAACACAAAGCAACAUUUCUGCAAGCACUACAGUGUUCAAGAGUGCAAAUUGACUAUUCAGUAUUGAUUUUAAAUUAAGCAAACUGUGUCUCAAUAUCAUGCUAUUCUAUCAAAUUGCUAACAAUUUUAAAAAGUAGCGAAUAGCGAUUUGCUGUUUGAAAAGUAGUCAACUACUUGGCUACUUUUAGACAAAAUGUAGUUCGCUAUAACUACAGCUACUGUUUUAAAAAAGUAGUAAAAAACUACUGGCUACUUGAAAAUUGUAGUUCGCUACAGUAGCGAACUACAACUACUUCGCUACUACCCACCCUUGUUAGUUGCAUAAUUUUUUUGGUCUGUUUAACACCAGAUGAUAUCACUUAAUGUAUCACCAAUGUAUCCUGUUAACCCUUUAAGCAGAAAUGCACCUGAAGAUGCCCUACUUUAUUAUUUUCCAUUUAAAGUAUAAAUGAUGACAAAUAAAAACUUUGUCGUUUUCUCAUGUGAAAAUUUGAUUUUUAUAAAAUAAUGAGCAUUCGAAAGUGUGUGGCCACUUACGCAGUGGAAUCCUGUUAUUAAUACAUAGUGGGCUCCAUGGUGUAGAUUGCGUUUUGACCAAAAUGUGGCCUUACAGUACAUCAAAAAGUUGUAUUACCAGAGGUGUAGGAAGUUUGAUAAACUUGUUACCAAAACCAUGGAUGCUUCCUCUUGCCCGCGAUCAUUAUUAGCCAAUAUCCGAGCAACUGCACAGUUGAUUGGACAUUUGUCAGAUUGAAGUGAAAUUGUAAUAAUAAUAAUUCACACUGCUUUUAACCAUCACAGGUAAAUUCUCUGAAGUACAUACCUUAAAAGAUCAUGAAAUG